rnacentral:rRNA from 1 species
UACGAAGGGGGCUAGCGUUGCUCGGAAUCACUGGGCGUAAAGCGCACGUAGGCGGCUUUGUAAGUUAGAGGUGAAAGCCCGGAGCUCAACCUCCGGAACUGCCUUUAAGACUGCAUCGCUCGAAUCAUGGAGAGGUCAGUGGAAUUCCGAGUGUAGAGGUGAAAUUCGAUAGAUAUUCGGAAGAACACCAGUGGCGAAGGCGACUGACUGGACAUGUAUUGACGCUGAGGUGCGAAAGCGUGGGGAGCAAACAGGG